rnacentral:rRNA from 1 species
ACAAAAGCUAGCCCAAACCACAAAUCAACUUUGUAUAAACAAUACACUCUACUUAUAAAAUAAAACAUUUAUAACACUAAAGUAUAGGAGAUAGAAAUUUUAACUUGGAGCUAUAGAGAAAGUACCGUAAGGGAAUGACUGAAAGAAUCAAUUAAAAGUAAAAAACAGCAAAGAUUACCCCUUGUACCUUUUGCAUAAUGAUUUAACUAGAAUAAACUUAGCACAAUGACUUUAAGUUAAGCCCCCCGAAACCAGACGAGCUAUCCAUGAACAGCUAAACUGAGCAAACUCGUCUAUGUAGCAAAAUAGUGAGAAGAUUUAUGGAUAGAGGUGAAAAGCCUACCGAGCCUGGUGAUAGCUGGUUGUCCAGCAAAGAAUUUUAGUUCAACAUUAAAUUUGCCCACUAACCAACAAAUUAACAUGUAAAUUUAAUUGUUAAUCUAAAGGGGUACAGCCCUUUAGACUAAGGAUACAACCUUAAUUAGAGAGUAAAUAUGAUUAAACACCAUAGUUGGCCUAAAAGCAGCCAUCAAUUAAGAAAGCGUUCAAGCUCAACAACUACCUCCCUCUUAAUUUAAUAAAUUAAAAUUAACUCCUACAACCACACUGGACCAAUCUAUAAUAUUAUAGAAGAAAUACUGUUAAUAUGAGUAACAAGAUUAUUAUCUCCAAGCGCAAGUUUAUAUCAGAUCAAAUAAUAACUGAUAAUUAACAGCUGAUUAAAUAAAACCCAAAAAUUAAUUAUUUAACCACUAGCCUGUUAACCCGACACAGGAGCGCACAACUUAUAAAGGAAAGAUUAAAAGAAGUAAAAGGAACUCGGCAAACACAAACCCCGCCUGUUACCAAAAACAUCACCUCUAGCAUUUCUAGUAUUAGAGGCACUGCCUGCCCAGUGACAACUGUUAAACGGCCGCGGUAUCCUGACCGUGCAAAGGUAGCAUAAUCAUUUGUUCCUUAAAUAGGGACUUGUAUGAAUGGCCACACGAGGGUUUAACUGUCUCUUACUUCCAAUCAGUGAAAUUGACCUCUCCGUGAAGAGGCGGAAAUAAAUGAAUAAGACGAGAAGACCCUAUGGAGCUUUAAUUUACUUAAUUCAACAGGAAUUAAUUCAUUACCCAUCAGGAAUAAUAAACACCCUGUAUGAAUUAAAAAUUUUGGUUGGGGUGACCUCGGAGUACAAACAAACCUCCGAGAUAUUUAUACCAAGACCUACAAGUCAAAGUAACUAAUACAACUGAUCCAGUCUAACUGAUCAACGGAACAAGUUACCCUAGGGAUAACAGCGCAAUCCUAUUCAAGAGUCCAUAUCGACAAUAGGGUUUACGACCUCGAUGUUGGAUCAGGACAUCCCAAUGGUGCAGCAGCUAUUAAUGGUUCGUUUGUUCAACGAUUAAAGUCCUACGUGAUCUGAGUUCAGACCGGAGUAAUCCAGGUCGGUUUCUAUCUAUUUAACAUUUCUCCCAGUACGAAAGGAUAAGAGAAAUAGGGCCAACUUGCAAAUAAGCGCCCUCAAGCAAAUAAAUGAUAUUAUCUUAAUUUAGAUAGCUUAUUAUCAAACAACCUUAGACCAAAGUUU